rnacentral:rRNA from 1 species
UACGUAGGGUGCGAGCGUUGUCCGGAUUUAUUGGGCGUAAAGGGCUCGUAGGCGGCGUGUCGCGUCGGGAGUGAAAGACCGGGGCUUAACCCCGGUUCUGCUUCCGGUACGGGCAUGCUGGAGUGUGGCAGGGGAGACUGGAAUUCCUGGUGUAGCGGUGAAAUGCGCAGAUAUCAGGAAGAACACCCGUGGCGAAAGCGGCUCUCUGGAACGGUACUGACGCUGAGACGCGAAAGCGUGGGGAGCGAACAGG